GCGACCCCCAGGAUGGGCGAGG
rnacentral:rRNA from 1 species